rnacentral:rRNA from 1 species
UGACCUCAAAUCAGGUAGGACUACCCGCUGAACUUAAGCAUAUCAAUAAGCGGAGGAAAAGAAACUAACAAGGAUUCCCCUAGUAACUGCGAGUGAAGCGGGAAAAGCUCAAAUUUUGAAUCUGGCAGUCUUUGCAGGCCGUCCGAGUUGUA